CUUGUUCUCAUUCACCUUUGCUUCCAGUGAGGGCACAAACAACAAAUAACUGAAUAAAUGCGUAAUAUAAUGAUACCAUAUUUCUACAUGUAUAGAAUAAGACCCAGAGCAACAACUCCCCUCCCUCUGUAUACACCAGGAAGGAUCCUAGGAGCUAAGGAUAUAGAAGAUAUGUUCCCUGCCCGUGAGGAGUUUACACUGUGUGGUAACACAAACAGUUAGGGCCUACUGAGGAAUUUCUCGACUCUACAAAGAUUCUGCCACAGACUUGUUAUUUAUUUGGGUAAAAAU